rnacentral:tRNA from 1 species
GCUCCCUUAGCUCAGAGGUUAGAGCUUUGUACUUAUGAUGCAAGGGUCGGCGGUUCGAACCCGCCAGGGAGCA